rnacentral:rRNA from 1 species
UACAGAGGGGGCAAGCGUUGUUCGGAUUUACUGGGCGUAAAGCGCGCGUAGGCGGAUCACUAAGUCAGGGGUGAAAUCCUGGAGCUCAACUCCAGAACUGCCUUUGAUACUGAAGAUCUUGAGUUCGGGAGAGGUGAGUGGAACUGCGAGUGUAGAGGUGAAAUUCGUAGAUAUUCGCAAGAACACCAGUGGCGAAGGCGGCUCACUGGCCCGAUACUGACGCUGAGGCACGAAAGCGUGGGGAGCAAACAGG